AUUGAACGCUGGCGGCAUGCCUAACACAUGCAAGUCGAGCGGCAGCGCGGGUAGCUUGCUACCUGGCGGCGAGUGGCGGACGGGUGAGUAAUGCAUAGGAAUCUGCUCAGUAGCGGGGGAUAGCCCGGGGAAACCCGGAUUAAUACCGCAUACGCCCUACGGGGGAAAGACAGGGGAUCUUCGGACCUUGCACUAUUGGAUGAGCCUAUGUCUGAUUAGCUUGUUGGUGGGGUAACGGCCUACCAAGGCGACGAUCAGUAGCUGGUCUGAGAGGACGAUCAGCCACACCGGAACUGAGACACGGUCCGGACUCCUACGGGAGGCAGCAGUGGGGAAUAUUGGACAAUGGGGGAAACCCGUGAUCCAGCAAUGCCGCGUGUGUGAAGAAGGCCUGCGGGUUGUAAAGCACUUUCAGUUGGGAAGAAACAGCAGCCGGCUAAUAUCCGGUUGUCUUGACGUAACCAACAGAAGAAGCACCGGCUAACUCCGUGCC
rnacentral:rRNA from 1 species